CCAUGCCGCGUGUGUGAAGAAGGCCUUCGGGUUGUAAAGCACUUUCAGUGAUGAGGAAGGGUGCGUAGUUAAUACCUGCGCACAUUGACGUUAGUCACAGAAGAAGCACCGGCUAACUCCGUGCCAGCAACGUCGGUGACUGAGCGGGCUGGCAAGGCGCAUA
rnacentral:rRNA from 1 species